GACGAACGCUGGCGGCGUGCUUAACACAUGCAAGUCGAACGGAAAGGCCCUGCUUUUGUGGGGUGCUCGAGUGGCGAACGGGUGAGUAACACGUGAGUAACCUGCCCUUGACUUUGGGAUAACUUCAGGAAACUGGGGCUAAUACCGGAUAGGAGCUCCUGCUGCAUGGUGGGGGUUGGAAAGUUUCGGCGGGUGGGGAUGGACUCGCGGCUUAUCAGUUUGUUGGUGGGGUAGUGGCUUACCAAGGCUUUGAAGGGUAGCCGGCCUGAGAGGGUGACCGGCCACAUUGGGACUGAGAUACGGCCCAGACUCCUACGGGAGGCAGCAGUGGGGAAUAUUGCACAAUGGGCGGAAGCCUGAUGCAGCAACGCCGCGUGCGGGAUGACGGCCUUCGGGUUGUAAACCGCUUUCGCCUGUGACGAAGCGUGAGUGACGGUAAUGGGUAAAGAAGCACCGGCUAACUACGUG
rnacentral:rRNA from 1 species